rnacentral:rRNA from 1 species
UACGUAGGGACCAAGCGUUGUUCGGAUUUACUGGGCGUAAAGGGCGCGUAGGCGGCAAUUCAAGUCAUCUGUGAAAUCUCCGGGCUUAACUCGGAACGGCCAAGUGAUACUGUCGUGCUAGAGUGCAGAAGGGGCAAUCGGAAUUCUUGGUGUAGCGGUGAAAUGCGUAGAUAUCAAGAGGAACACCUGAGGUGAAGACGGGUUGCUGGGCUGACACUGACGCUGGAAGCGCGAAAGCUAGGGGAGCAAACGGG